ACUUACCAGGUCAAGACAUGGGCGUGAUUGACAGGCUAAUGACUUUUCUCGAUUCCAUGGAUGGUGGUGCAUGGUCGCACUUAGUUGGUGCAGUGAUUUGUCAGGUUUAUUCCGGUAACGAACGAGACCUCGGCCUUGUAGAUAGCUAUGCUGCUUACAGGGACAUUGGCGGCUACGCCAAGGAAGCUCGAGGCAAUUGCAGAUCUGGAAUGCCCUUAGAUGUCCUGGGUCGCACGCGUGCUACAAUGACGCCACGAACGAGCUUGCGUGAUGAAAGUUACGCAUAAUCAGCAGUCGGCGUCUUAAGGGAUAGUCUCUUGUAACUGUGGGACUCCAACUAGGAAUGUCUCGUAAGCACAAGUCAACAUCUUGUGUUGAUUACGUCCCUGCUCUUUGUACACACCGCCCGUCGCUCCUACCGAUCGAGUGUUUAGGUGAAUUUGAUGGACGUAAGGAAGUCAAAUAAACCUGAGCACUAGAGAAGAGAAGUCGAGCAAGCU
rnacentral:rRNA from 1 species